CUCAUAGCGUAUAUUAAGUUGUUGCAGUUAAAAAGCUCGUAGUUGAACUUCUGGCUAUUCUUCCAGCUGGCUUCGGUCGCUGUAAGAGUGGUCAUCCGCUUGGGAACUACGUUCGAACUUCACUGUUCGGCGUAAGGAACAGGCAUUUUACUUAGAAAAAAUUAGAGUGUUCAAGGCAGGCUAUCGCCCUGAAUACACAAGCUUGGAAUAAUGAAAUAGGACUACUUCCAUUUUAUUGGUUAUUGGAAUUAGUAAUGAUUAAUAGGGACAGUUGGGGACAUUAGUAUUUAAUUGUCAGAGGUGAAAUUCUUGGAUUUAUUAAAGACUAACUUAUGCGAAAGCAUUUGUCAAGGAUGUUUUCAUUAAUCAAGAACGAAAGUUAGGGGAUCAAAGACGAUCAGAUACCGUCCUAGUCUUAACUAUAAACUAUACCGACUAGGGAUUGGCCGGGUCUCUUUAACCGGGUCAGCACCUUAUGAGAAAUCAAAGUCUAUGGGUUCUGGGGGGAGUAUGGUCGCAAGGCUGAAACUUAAAGGAAUUGACGGAAGGGCACCACCAGGAGUGGAGCCUGCGGCUUAAUUUGACUCAACACGGGGAAACUUACCAGGUCAAGACAUAAGUGGGAUUGACAGAUUGAGAGCUCUUUCUUGAUUCUAUGGGUGGUGGUGCAUGGCCGUUCUUAGUUGGUGGAGUGAUUUGUCUG
rnacentral:rRNA from 1 species